UACGUAGGUGGCAAGCGUUGUCCGGAUUUAUUGGGUUUAAAGGGUGCGUAGGCGGCCCUAUAGGUCAGUGCUGAAAUAUCCCGGCUUAACCGGGAGGGUGGCAUUGAUACUGUAGGGCUUGAGUGUAGUCGAGGUAGGCGGAAUUGACGGUGUAGCGGUGAAAUGCUUAGAUAUCGUCAAGAACACCGAUAGUGUAGACAGCUUACUAGGCUACAACUGACGCUGAGGCACGAAAGUGUGGGGAUCAAACAGG
rnacentral:rRNA from 1 species